CAAGGCAGCUAGCUCUCUGCAACUCUCACAUGGUCGCCCACUGAAGCUAAGCAGGGCUGCGCCCGGUCAGUACCUGGAGGGGAAACCACAUGGGAAAGCUAGGUUGCUGCCGGAA
rnacentral:rRNA from 1 species